rnacentral:pre_miRNA from 13 species
CUACAUCUACCCUGUAGAUCCGAAUUUGUUUGAUGCAAAGCGACAAAUUCGGUUCUAGAGAGGUUUGUGUG